rnacentral:rRNA from 1 species
UAUCUCUGUAGAGUCUGCAUAUCAAUAAGGCGGAGGAAAAGAAACUAACAAGGAUUCCCUUAGUAACGGCGAGUGAAGCGGGAAGAGCUCAAAUUUGAAAUCUUCAAGGUUUUACCUUGACGAAUUGUAGUUUAAAGAAGUGUUUUCUGUUGAAGUUUCGGUAAAAGUUCUUUGGAAUAGGACAUCAUAGAGGGUGAGAAUCCCGUAUUUGACCGUUAUUUUCAGCUGUGUGAUACACUUUCAAAGAGUCGGAUUGUUUGGGAAUGCAGUCCAAAAUGGGUGGUAAAUUUCAUCUAAAGCUAAAUAUUGGCGAGAGACCGAUAGCGAACAAGUACCGUGAGGGAAAGAUGAAAAGAACUUUGAAAAGAGAGUUAAACAGUACGUGAAAUUGUCAAAAGGGAAGCGUUUGACACCAGUGUUGUUUUCUCGAAAAUCAAUUAAAAAAUGCUUGAUUUUGUGUUGUAUUGACCUUUAAAAGCUUUCUGCACUUUUUUCAUGUCUUUUUUAAUGCACUUUUCGUUUAACAAGUCAACAUCAGUUUCUUUUGUUGUAAAAAGGUCAUUGGAAGGUGGCUUUCUUUUCGGAGAAAGUGUUUAUAGCCUUUGACUCCUGCAAUCGGAGAGACUGAGGUCUGCAGCGUAGAUCCUCCUUGGAUUAGAUUCAUUUGUGCUAAGUUAUAGCUUUUUAUAGACAACUUGUUGACUAUAUUUAGUCUUGUAGCUUACUCGCUUAUGCAAUUUUACCUACGCUUAGGAUGUUGAACGCGCACAGAGUCUC